rnacentral:rRNA from 1 species
AGUGAACGCUGGCGGUAGGCCUAACACAUGCAAGUCGAACGGCAGCACAGUAAGAGCUUGCUCUUACGGGUGGCGAGUGGCGGACGGGUGAGGAAUACAUCGGAAUCUACUUUUUCGUGGGGGAUAACGUAGGGAAACUUACGCUAAUACCUCAUACGACCUACGGGUGAAAGCAGGGGAUCUUCGGACCUUGCGCGAUUGUAUGAGCCGAUGUCGGAUUAGCUAGUUGGCGGGGUAAAGGCCCACCAAGGCGACGAUCCGUAGCUGGUCUGAGAGGAUGAUCAGCCAAACUGGAACUGAGACACGGUCCAGACUCCUACGGGAGGCAGCAGUGGGGAAUAUUGGACAAUGGGCGCAAGCCUGAUCCAGCCAUACCGCGUGGGUGAAGAAGGCCUUCGGGUUGUAAAGCCCUUUUGUUGGGAAAGAAAAGCAGCAGGUUAAUACCCCGCUGUUCUGACGGUACCCAAAGAAUAAGCACCGGCUAACUUCGUG